AAGUUUGGCUGAUAUUGUAUAUUUGCACAUACUUUGCACACAAUGCCCAGCCUUGCCCACAGCUGGCAUUUUACGUCACUCUAAAGUUGGAUCCAUGGAUGGGUUCACUCAGUACCCCUGCUCUGCCAUUGGGCUCCCUGUCUCUGUACACACUGGAUGUUGGGCUGUGAGAGAGUGUCAGAAGCUGCUCUGGAGAUCCUGCUCUGAAUACAUAGCUCUACAUCACCCAGGGCUGAAUGCUGCAUUCUGUCUCAGUGUUUGGAGUCUGUACCUGCAUUGUGUUUUUACAAGUCACCUGGAGAUUGAUACUUUGUAUCCAGGAUGCUGCUCACUGUUUUUAUACUGGAUGUGCACCAUGGACCAUUACUCUGCAAUGUGAAUGAUCGUGGUGGCUCAGCUCACUCUGUAUCCUGAGAAUGCUGCCUGCAAUGACAACGGGCAGAGCUGCAGCCACUGAGGUCUGGAUGGAAGGUAGGACAAUUGGGCUUAUUAGGGACAGACUGGAGGACACAGAGGGGAAGAAGGCAGAAACUAAGCAGAAUGAGAGUGGGAGUCCUAGAACAGAGAGAUCAAUGCUGUCCAUCACUAGAUCAGUGAGUUUGUGGCUCCACUAAGAGAGAUUGGAGGUUUCUGAAGAUGAAGCAGUUACAUGGUGUCAUCUGCACUAUUUUUUUAAAGUUUGUUACUGUAUAUUAAAGUUUGUUACUGUAUAUUAAAGUUUGUUGAUGGAGGAUAAUAUUGGAGUUGAAAGGCAGUUAUAGGAGUCUACAAGGAGAUUAAAGUUUAACUUGGGAGAUAAAUAUACAUUUGAACUAUACUGAACCAUUGAUGGGUUGUUAAUGAUGGAUGCUGCAGUAAAUAUAAAUUAUACUGAGGACUGCAGGACAGGUUGUUAAGGGAGCAUGCUGGUAGCCUGUGGAGUAGAUUGAAGAAGGCUGCUAAGGGAGCCAUUGGAGAUAGAUUGAUGGAGGCAGCUAAAGGUGCUAUUAGGGCAGACUGAGGGAGGCAGCUAAGGGAG